rnacentral:rRNA from 1 species
GACGAACCGUGCAAACGUUGUUCGGAUUCACUGGGCUUAAAGGGCGCGUAGGCGGCUUGCCAAGUCAGGGGUGAAAUCUUUCGGCUUAACCGGAAAAGUGCUUCUGAUACUGGCGGGCUGGAGGGAGGUAGGGGCAGAUGGAACUUCCGGUGGAGCGGUGAAAUGCGUAGAUAUCGGAAGGAACGCCGGUGGCGAAAGCGAUCUGCUGGACCUCUUCUGACGCUGAGGCGCGAAAGCCAGGGGAGCGAACGGG